GAUGAACGCUGGCGGCGUGCCUAAUACAUGCAAGUCGAGCGAACAGAUGAGGAGCUUGCUCCUCUGACGUUAGCGGCGGACGGGUGAGUAACACGUGGAUAACCUACCUAUAAGACUGGGAUAACUUCGGGAAACCGGAGCUAAUACCGGAUAAUAUAUUGAACCGCAUGGUUCAAUAGUGAAAGACGGUUUUGCUGUCACUUAUAGAUGGAUCCGCGCCGCAUUAGCUAGUUGGUAAGGUAACGGCUUACCAAGGCAACGAUGCGUAGCCGACCUGAGAGGGUGAUCGGCCACACUGGAGCUGAGACACGGUCCAGACUCCUACGGGAGGCAGCAGUAGGGAAUCUUCCGCAAUGGGCGAAAGCCUGACGGAGCAACGCAGCGUGAGUGAUGAAGGUCUUCGGAUCGUAAAACGCUGUUAUUAGGGAAGAACAAAUGUGUAAGUAACUAUGCACGUCUUGACGGUACCUAAUCAGAAAGCCACGGCUAACUACGU
rnacentral:rRNA from 1 species